rnacentral:rRNA from 1 species
UACGUAGGGUGCGAGCGUUGUCCGGAAUUAUUGGGCGUAAAGAGCUUGUAGGCGGUUUGUCGCGUCUGCCGUGAAAAUUCGAGGCUCAACCUCGAACUUGCGGUCGAUACGGGCAGGCUAGAGUUCGGUAGGGGAGACUGGAAUUCCUGGUGUAGCGGUGAAAUGCGCAGAUAUCGGGAAGAACACCCGUGGCGAAGGCGGUUCUCUGGGACGGUACUGACGCUGAGACGCGAAGCGUGG